rnacentral:rRNA from 1 species
GACGAACGCUGGCGGCGUGCCUAAUACAUGCAAGUAGAACGCUGAAGAGAGGAGCUUGCUCUUCUUGGAUGAGUUGCGAACGGGUGAGUAACGCGUAGGUAACCUGCCUUGUAGCGGGGGAUAACUAUUGGAAACGAUAGCUAAUACCGCAUAACAAUGGAUGACACAUGUCAUUUAUUUGAAAGGGGCAAUUGCUCCACUACAAGAUGGACCUGCGUUGUAUUAGCUAGUAGGUGAGGUAACGGCUCACCUAGGCGACGAUACAUAGCCGACCUGAGAGGGGGAUCUGGCACACUGGGACGGAGACACGGCCCAGACUACUACGGGAGGCAGCAGUAGGGAAUCUUCGGCAAAAGGGGCAACGCUGACUGAGCAACGCCGCGGGAGUGAAGAAGGGUGUCGGAUCGUAAAGCUCUGUUGUAAGUCAAGAACGUGUGUGAGAGUGGAAAGUGCACACUGUGACGGUAGCUUAGCAGAAAGGGACGGCUAACUACGUG